CUGGUCUUGUGAACUGGUCAACCCAGGCAUCUGAUGUACCCUGCUGCUGUAUAAACUCUGCUGCCCACUGUUCUGCCUGAGCUCGGCCCGACCCUGCACCGGACUCCAGGGACACCUGCCCUUCGCCAAUCUGCCGCACGAAUUUCAGGAACUCAGAAUUAGCCAAUUUGGGGUCAUCCACUUUGGCCACAAAGUCACUGGCCGUGUG
rnacentral:lncRNA from 1 species